UACGUAGGGUGCGAGCGUUAAUCGGAAUUACUGGGCGUAAAGCGUGCGCAGGCGGUUUUGUAAGACAGGCGUGAAAUCCCCGGGCUCAACCUGGGAAUUGCGCUUGUGACUGCAAGGCUGGAGUGCGGCAGAGGGGGAUGGAAUUCCGCGUGUAGCAGUGAAAUGCGUAGAUAUGCGGAGGAACACCGAUGGCGAAGGCAAUCCCCUGGGCCUGCACUGACGCUCAUGCACGAAAGCGUGGGGAGCAAACAGG
rnacentral:rRNA from 1 species